rnacentral:rRNA from 1 species
CCUACGGGAGGCAGCAGUAAGGAAUAUUGGACAAUGCUCGCAAGAGUGAUCCAGCCAUGCCGCGUGCAGGAAGAAUGCCCUAUGGGUAGUAAACUGCUUUUGAACUAGAGAAAACCCCAGUACGUGUACUGGGCUGAUAGUAUAGUUAGAAUAAGCAUCGGCUAACUUCGUGCCAGCAGCCGCGGUAAGACGAAGGAUGCAAGCGUUAUCCGGAUUCAUUGGGUUUAAAGGGAGCGUAGGUGGACUGAUAAGUCAGUGGUGAAAUCUCCGAGCUUAACUCGGAAAUUGCCAUUGAUACUGUUGGUCUUGAGUACAGUUGCUGUGGGCGGAAUAUGACAUGUAGUGGUGAAAUACAUAGAGAUGUCAUAGAACACCGAUUGCGAAGGCAGCUCACAAAGCUGUAACUGACACUGAGGCUCGAAAGUGCGGGGAUCAAACAGGAUUAGAUACCUGGUAGUCCGCACCGUAAACGAUGAUUACUCGCUGCUAGGGGGCAACCUUUAGUGGCUUAGCGAAAGCGAUAAGUAAUCCACCUGGGGAGUACGCCGGCAACGGUGAAACGUCAAAUGAAUUGACGG